rnacentral:misc_RNA from 1 species
CCGAGUUUACAACUCCCAAACCCCUGUGAACAUACCAUUUGUUGCCUCUGGCGGGCUGCCGAAGCAGGCACCGCCAGAGGACCCAAACCCUUGAUUUUAUACAGUAUCUUCUGAGUAAAUGAUUAAAUAAAUCA